rnacentral:rRNA from 1 species
UGGGGAAUAUUGCACAAUGGAGGAAACUCUGAUGCAGCGACGCCGCGUGAGUGAAGAAGUAUUUCGGUAUGUAAAGCUCUAUCAGCAGGGAAGAAGAAAGUGACGGUACCUGACUAAGAAGCCCCGGCUAACUACGUGCCAGCAGCCGCGGUAAUACGUAGGGGGCAAGCGUUAUCCGGAUUUACUGGGUGUAAAGGGAGCGUAGACGGCAUGGCAAGUCUGAAGUGAAAGCCCGGGGCUCAACCCCGGGACUGCUUUGGAAACUGCUAAGCUUGAGUACAGGAGGGGCGAGUGGAAUUCCUAGUGUAGCGGUGAAAUGCGUAGAUAUUAGGAGGAACACCGGUGGCGAAGGCGGCCCGCUGGACUGUAACUGACGUUGAGGCUCGAAAGCGUGGGGAGC